CAGAGUUGUCGACUUCGCUGUCUCCAGAAAUCUUCUUCCUCCUUGUGUUUUGCUCUUGUCCAAGCAAUGAUCUCCCCACGACACCGGGUGAUCCUUUCCUCCACAUCCUCACUCUCAUCAAAGGUCCAAGCUCUUUUAACUAUUGAUGUUACUUCCUCAUUCUCUUUAAGGCGUCUAUCGUAUCUAAAAAUACCCUUCUUCUUUUUCUUUGAGAGAUCCAAAUGAGUGAGGAGGGGCCUGUGAUCUGAACCUUCAAACUUCAUAUACUCACAUCGGCUAAAGGGGACAGAAAGUUACCAGAGUGUCAAAGGUCGAAUAAGUCGCAAGUUGACAUGAAACUUCGGAUAUCAGUGAAAGUUCCUUUGUGUCUAGCUGGGCCUCCUUGCUUUUCCAAGGUUCUCCAUACAGGAAGGUAGCGAAGAAAGUUUUUCCUUCUGCUUUGAUUUGUGUAUCAAUGAAGUUUUGGCAGCUUGAGAUGAUUGAAAGUUCUACUUCCUUCUUCCAGAGUAACGUUAGACCACCUCCACCAGGGCUAUGGGGGGAUACCAGGAGAGAUGUUGGAGGACAUCUCCUUUAAGCGCUGGACUGUUAUGAGGUUCCCCAACCCACAACAGUUCUAGCUCAAGAUCUUUAAGGAAGAGGAGCAGGUGGAUUGUGAAAAUCCACCCUUUUCCUGACCAUAGCUGGAAUUAGGGUCCCUUUUGGUGCAACAUUACUUGAUGAGGGUAAGUCACUAGGAGCCUUAGGGAAGGUUGUCUGCUUUGCUGAAGAUUUUGUCCC